UACAGAGGUCUCAAGCGUUGUUCGGAUUCAUUGGGCGUAAAGGGCGCGUAGGCGGUGCGGUAAGUCACCUGUGAAAUCUCCUGGCUCAACUGGGAGCUUGCAGGCGAAACUGCCGUGCUGGAGUGUGGGAGAGGUGCGUGGAAUUCCCGGUGUAGCGGUGAAAUGCGCAGAUAUCAGGAAGAACACCCGUGGCGAAGGCGGCUCGCUGGGACGGUACUGACGCUGAGACGCGAAAGCGUGGGGAGCGAACAGG
rnacentral:rRNA from 1 species